UUUUUUUAAUAAAAGUCUUUAUGAUUACUUCACAUGUCAGACUUCAGAGGUUUUGGAAACAAGAUAUAUGAGAAGACAUUUCAUUAUUCUGAGCAGAUA